AUUGAACGCUGGCGGCAGGCUUAACACAUGCAAGUCGAGCGAGCGGCGGACGGGUGAGUAAUGUCUGGGAAACUGCCUGAUGGAGGGGGAUAACUACUGGAAACGGUAGCUAAUACCGCAUACCAUCAGAUGUGCCCAGAUGGGAUUAGCGAGUGGGUGGGGUAAUGGCUCACCUAGGCGACGAUCCCUAGCUGGUCUGAGAGGGUGACCGGCCACACUGGAACUGAGACACGGCCCAGACUCCUACGGGAGGCAGCAGUGGGGAAUAUUGCGCAAUGGGCGAAAGCCUGAUGCAGCCAGGCCGCGUGUGUGAAGAAGGCCUUCGGGUUGUAAAGCACUGUCGUCGGGGAGGCGGUACUCGCAGAAGAAGCACCGGCUAACUCCGUGCCAGCAGCCGCGGUAAUUC
rnacentral:rRNA from 1 species